rnacentral:rRNA from 1 species
AGAAUUGAUCUGGUUCAGGAUGAACGCUGGCGGCGUGCCUAACACAUGCAAGUCGAACGAAGCACUGUCGAUGGAGAUUCGUCAAAAUUGACUUUGACUUAGUGGCGGACGGGUGAGUAAUGCGUGAGCAACCUGCCUUUCAGAGGGGGACAACAGUUGGAAACGACUGCUAAUACCGCAUAAUGUAUUUAGGAGGCAUCUCCCGGAUACCAAAGGAGCAAUCCGCUGAAAGAUGGGCUCACGUCUGAUUAGCUAGUUGGUGAGGUAACGGCUCACCAAGGCUGCGAUCAGUAGCCGGACUGAGAGGUUGAACGGCCACAUUGGGACUGAGAUACGGCCCAGACUCCUACGGGAGGCAGCAGUGGGGAAUAUUGGGCAAUGGGCGAAAAAGCCUGACCCAGCAACGCCGCGUGAAGGAAGAAGGUCUUCGGAUUGUAAACUUCUUUUAUGAGGGACGAAGGACGUGACGGUACCUCAUGAAUAAGCCACGGCUAACUACGUGCCAGCCGCGGC